rnacentral:rRNA from 1 species
AAAACAGCCCUACGGGAGGCAGCAGUAGGGAAUCUUCCGCAAUGGGCGAAAGCCUGACGGAGCAACGCCGCGUGAGUGAUGAAGGUUUUCGGAUCGUAAAGCUCUGUUGCCAAAGAAGAAGGGUAUGGAGAGUAACUGCUCUAUAUUUGACGGUAUUUGAGAAGAAAGCCCCGGCUAACUACGUGCCAGCAGCCGCGGUAAUACGUAGGGGGCAAGCGUUGUCCGGAAUUAUUGGGCGUAAAGCGCGCGCAGGCGGCCGUUUAAGUCUGGUGUUUAAGCCCGAGGCUCAACCUCGGUACGCACGGGAAACUGGAUGGCUUGAGUGCAGGAGAGAGAAGUG